UAGGGAAUCUUCCGCAAUGGGCGAAAGCCUGACGGAGCAACGCCGCGUGAGUGAUGAAGGUCUUCGGAUCGUAAAACUCUGUUAUUAGGGAAGAACAAAUGUGUAAGUAACUAUGCACGUCUUGACGGUACCUAAUCGGAAAGCCACGGCUAACUACGUGCCAGCAGCCGCGGUAAUACGUAGGUGGCAAGCGUUAUCCGGAAUUAUUGGGCGUAAAGCGCGCGUAGGCGGUUUUUUAAGUCUGAUGUGAAAGCCCACGGCUCAACCGUGGAGGGUCAUUGGAAACUGGAAAACUUGAGUGCAGAAGAGGAAAGUGGAAUUCCAUGUGUAGCGGUGAAAUGCGCAGAGAUAUGGAGGAACACCAGUGGCGAAGGCGACUUUCUGGUCUGUAACUGACGCUGAUGUGCGAAAGCGUGGGGAUCAAACAGG
rnacentral:rRNA from 1 species